UACGAAGGGGGCGAGCGUUGUUCGGAAUUACUGGGCGUAAAGGGCGCGUAGGCGGUCCUUCAAGUCAGGCGUGAAAGCCCCGGGCUCAACCUGGGAACCGCGCUUGAGACUGGCGGACUCGAGUUCGGGAGAGGAUGGUGGAAUUCCCAGUGUAGAGGUGAAAUUCGUAGAUAUUGGGAAGAACACCGAUGGCGAAGGCAGGUCUCUGGGCCGAUACUGACGCUGAGGAGCGAAAGCGUGGGGAGCGAACAGG
rnacentral:rRNA from 1 species